rnacentral:rRNA from 1 species
UCGGGAAUUUUGGGCAAUGGGCGAAAGCCUGACCCAGCAACGCCGCGUGAAGGAUGAAGUAUUUCGGUAUGUAAACUUCGAAAGAAUAGGAAGAAUAAAUGACGGUACUAUUUAUAAGGUCCGGCUAACUACGUGCCAGCAGCCGCGGUAAUACGUAGGGACCAAGCGUUGUUCGGAUUUACUGGGCGUAAAGGGCGCGUAGGCGGCAAUUCAAGUCAUCUGUGAAAUCUCCGGGCUUAACUCGGAACGGUCAGAUGAUACUGCUUUGCUAGAGUGCAGAAGGGGCAAUCUGAAUUCUUGGUGUAGCGGUGAAAUGCGUAGAUAUCAAGAGGAACACCUGAGGUGAAGACGGGUUGCUGGGCUGACACUGACGCUGAGGCGCGAAAGCCAGGGGAGCAAACGGGGAUUAGAUACCCAAGUAGUCCCUGAGCGGGCUGGCAAGGCGCAU